ensembl:lncRNA
GGUCUCCCACAUUGCAGGUGGAUUGUUUACCAGCUGAGCCACAAAUGCAUGGCCGUGGAUCCCGCCUGUGCUUCUCACCCAGGCUUCUCCAAGACUCGCUCAGCUCAGUCGUGUGGCAUGAACCUGGCUGGGCACGGCUCGCCCUGGACUGAGACUCCAGCAGUCAGCUGUUAGAGAGGCCCAUGUGGCAAGAAACUGAGGAUGACCUCUGGCUGAUAGCCAGCAAGGCACAGGAUCCUGCCAACAGCCUGUGAGUGCCAACAACUGCUGAGUGAACUUGGAGGCAGAUCACACCCCGGUUGAGCCUUGAGAAGACUAGGGCCCCAGCAAGUGCCUUGAUGGUGGCCUUAUGAGAGACCCGGGGUGAGGACCUUGAUUGCAGCCUGAAGAGACCCUAAAGCUGAUAAUGAAGACCAAGCUAAACC